CGACCUCUGGGUUUUGUUCCUUUUCUCUGCUCCUGCAGCAGCUGCGGAGCUCACAGCCGCUCAGGGCUGUUCCACGCAGCUGGAAAGGUCCCAGAGGGCAAAACCCCACCUCAGUUGCAGCACCAGCACCGCACCGCGAUAUUAUUUUUGCCUUCAUGUAAAGCCCUGCAAAUCCCUCCUUCAGUGCCGACGAAGCCAGAACGUUCCAUUCUCCUGGCUCUACGGAUGGGAAACUGCUGCCGAGCUGCUGGCUGAGGAAGGUUAUUAAAUGUCCGGGAGAAAUAAAGCUGCUCUUUUGUUUUGUUUAAUAGUAGUUUUCCUCCCCUGAGCUGGAGAGGGUGGUGUGUGCUUCGUGCUGUGGUGAUAUGGAGCACUGCAU
rnacentral:lncRNA from 1 species